GAGAGGAAAAGAGUUCUCAUGUGUGUUCAUAAAACGAAGAAACAACAAAACACAAUAAUACACACGAAUCA
rnacentral:tRNA from 1 species